AUAGAAUGCACGAUCGAUUUUGUAUUUCCACUUGUUCAAUUUGUAAAGAACGGAAUCUGUGAAAAUCUCACCCUAAACGUUGUUUCAACCAGUCAAAUCGCAUUCGUAUGUAUUCCUCAGAGAUCCUAGAACGUAACCAGACUUCACUAUAUCAUUAGAGAUGUAGUAUAUCCUAUAGGACACCAUAUUUGGUCAGAGAGCAAUACCUUCAUGGCAUGCCAACGACGCGGGCUGUCUUCACUUGAACGACUGUAUCUUUGUCAAAUAAGCACCAAUCGGGGUCAAACAAAGCUAGCUAGAUAGCCAAUGAGCUGGGCUUCAAGUUAUCCAUCUGAAACUUUGCACAUGCACUGCCAUCUUGUGGACACCAUCGGAAUUACAACCAGAGUGAUGAACAGGGACCUUUCUGCUGCAUUUCAAAGAUGUAUUGUGUUGUAUUUUCUUCUACCAGAUCUAUUGUGUUAUAUUCUCCUACAUUCAAUUCACAUUUCCACAAAUGUCAAAGUGUUUCCUUUCAAAUGGUACAAAGAAUAUGCAUAUCUUUGCUUCAGGGCCUGAACUAACAUUGUCUUUGUCUACUAACAACCCACUCGUACCUUGACGUGGUGAGUGGGCUUCAAACCAAGACAGGCGAUUCAUUUAUAAUUUCAUUAAAAUGUUUAGAUAACCACCUGUGUGUGUGUCCUUUCCCUCUCCCUUCUGCAGGACUACCUUCUGUAUGGAUCCAGGUGUGACUGUCACAGCUGCAACAUAACUAUUCAACAUUACCGAGUGAGUAGUUAUCGGACAUUGAGUGUGACUUCAACUAUGAAUAUUGCUCCAGUGUUAAUGUUAUGGUGUGGCACUGGGUGUGCUGUGUUUUGGUAGCUUUGGUAAUAUUCAGGCAACCUGACUCGGACACAGUGUGGCAGCUCUACCCACCUGGUGGCCUGUAAUUGGCUGUUAUCUUAUCUGCAAUAAGAAUGGAGGCAACAGAGACAAUGGGAGGAUGUCGCCCAGGAGGAAGUCCUGCAAAGAGCUAAUAUUUUUUCCAUACUUCCUUAUUGGCGCGUGAGUGUCAUUUACGGUUUAUGUUCACAUGCCACUUACCUGAGGUCCUCCUGUGUGUUCGUUUUCUGACCCCUGAAGCAACGCUGCCACCACUACUGCACCUUCAGCACAGACAAAACUUCAUACUCCGCUAGCGUCUCACGUAAACGUAAAGGAUGGACAUUUCAAAUUCCUUCAUUAGAGUGUGACCGCUUACGUUGUUAAUCACAUGCCAUUUAUCCUACUUUCACUUGUGUGUUCCAGGCUGCCUGUUGCCGGAGCUCCAGAGACUUUGCUUAGCUGACUACAGUGGAGCUGCAGGCCGCUGAUGUCACCAGGCUAAGUUCCCACACUUUGUCUUAGCAGAGAGGAUCCGAGAUGGACAAACUUAGCAGAAAAUCAAUGGUUGCUGAGCUGUUGGUGAGAAACAGGGCAUCGGUCAACGUAGCUGACCUGUGGAAUUUCACCCCCCUCUUUGAGGCUGCAGCCAAGGGAAAAUAGCGAAGAGAUCUGCUGAUGCUCAAGCACAUGCACAUUGCGGCCCUCCUGAUCAAGUACAAUGUCCGUAUGAACGCCACAGACAAGUAGUGAGCCUCCAACCUGCUCCACAUGGCAGCUCAGAAUGUAAACAUAGUGAAUGUAUGCAUGUGUUAUCUCUCUAGUUGAACAAAGUCUUCGUCUUGCAAUGACGUAGUCUGGUCACAAUAAUUCCAAUCCAAUAUAUUUUUACACACAUGGCUAGAGAAACCCCUUAUCACCCAGUAACUCUCCCUCUGAUCAUGUUCUCCUCCUUCCUCAUGCUGAUGAUAAUGUAUAUGUGCCCUGUUGAUAGACACUAUUCCCCCGAGAUGCAGAGAAGAGGGAUCACCAGCUCAGCUCAUCAAACUGUCCAAUCUCUGGAGGGGACAACAGACAUUUCUCAAAUCUGUGCUUGCCACCCAGCCAAAUGAACUAAUGCAUAAAUCCUUUAGCUUAACAUUUUGUGUGUAUUUCAUACAAUCCUGCAGGUUCUUUGCAACUCACAGCAAAUGUGUAAUCAUAUCCUGUAAUCGUGUCCCUCAGGGCUACAAUGUUGAUCGUCAAACUCCAUUCUCUAAUACGCAGAAGUGAACUGAUGUACAGUGGACCAGCAGCAGUCAGUUUGUAACCUGACACCACUGGAGGUCUUGAUGGUAUUUGAGAACAAGAAAGAAAACAAGUAGGCAGUCAGUAAAAGCAUAAAGCUUUUGGGAACUAUUUACAGAUAACAUAUAUAAAAGAAUACAUAUAAGUAGGACCAGAUCAGCCUAUAGUUUACAGCAACAUGAUCGGGCCCAUAUCCCUGGCCAACGCCAGGGAGCUCCCUCAUCCUUAUACUAUUCCUCCUCCUGUAUGUCCUACUCGCCCAUUAGGAGUGCCCACUGAAGCUCCCUUGUCUUCUCCUGCAUCACCCCAGGGUGCCGGUGGAGUGGUGGCAGGCCAUCCAAAAGAGACACUCGAAGUGAGUUUACAUACACUUACAGUGAGGGAAAAAAGUUUUUGAUCCCCUGCUGAU